GGCACUGUUUUAGGCACUGGGGAAACAUCAGUGACAAGAACAGAAACCUCUGCCCUCCUGAUGCUUACAUUCUAGUGAGGACAGCAGACAGGUGAAGUGGUGAGCUCCAGGGAGCCACAGAACCAGCCCACAAAGACCAAAGAGCCAGCCCGCCCACCCGUGGUCUAAGCAACAGGAAUUCUCACGCUCCCUUGCGGUCCAGUGACUUCACUUGGCAGCGUCCAGAUCAGGACUCAGCGUCAAAGGCCGAGGGGAACCUCACCUUUCUCCACCGAGAACGUAAAAUUGACGCCUUGCCACCAUUUUGACCAAAUGUGGACUUCACGUUCCUCAGUCAGAGAAAAAACUUUGUAUUCUGUGAUAAACCACAACAAACCACAACUC